rnacentral:rRNA from 1 species
UACGAAGGGGGCUAGCGUUGUUCGGAAUUACUGGGCGUAAAGCGCACGUAGGCGGAUACUUAAGUCAGGGGUGAAAUCCCGGGGCUCAACCCCGGAACUGCCUUUGAUACUGGGUAUCUCGAGUCCGGAAGAGGUGAGUGGAAUUCCGAGUGUAGAGGUGAAAUUCGUAGAUAUUCGCAAGAACACCAGUGGCGAAGGCGGCUCACUGGCCCGGUACUGACGCUGAGGUGCGAAAGCGUGGGGAGCAAACAGGAGUUAGAAACCCUUGAUACGUUC